GGGUAGUUUGACUGGGGCGGUCUCCUCCUAAAGAGUAACGGAGGAGCACGAAGGUUGGCUAAUCCUGGUCGGACAUCAGGAGGUUAGUGCAAUGGCAUAAGCCAGCUUGACUGCGAGCGUGACGGCGCGAGCAGGUGCGAAAGCAGGUCAUAGUGAUCCGGUGGUUCUGAAUGGAAGGGCCAUCGCUCAACGGAUAAAAGGUACUCCGGGGAUAACAGGCUGAUACCGCCCAAGAGUUCAUAUCGACGGCGGUGUUUGGCACCUCGAUGUCGGCUCAUCACAUCCUGGGGCUGAAGUAGGUCCCAAGGGUAUGGCUGUUCGCCAUUUAAAGUGGUACGCGAGCUGGGUUUAGAACGUCGUGAGACAGUUCGGUCCCUAUCUGCCGUGGGCGCUGGAGAACUGAGGGGGGCUGCUCCUAGUACGAGAGGACCGGAGUGGACGCAUCACUGGUGUUCGGGUUGUCAUGCCAAUGGCACUGCCCGGUAGCUAAAUGCGGAAGAGAUAAGUGCUGAAAGCAUCUAAGCACGAAACUUGCCCCGAGAUGAGUUCUCCCUGAGACUUUAAGUCUCCUGAAGGAACGUUGAAGACGACGACGUUGAUAGGCCGGGUGUGUAAGCGCAGCGAUGCGUUGAG
rnacentral:rRNA from 1 species